rnacentral:rRNA from 1 species
UACGUAGGGGGCUAGCGUUAUCCGGAAUUACUGGGGCGUAAAGGGUGCGUAGGCGGUCUUUCAAGCCAGAAGUGAAAGGCUACGGCUCAACCGUAGUAAGCUUUUGGAACUGUAAGACUUGAGUGCAGGAGAGGAGAGUGGAAUUCCUAGUGUAGCGGUGAAAUGCGUAGAUAUUAGGAGGAACACCAGUAGCGAAGGCGGCUCUCUGGACUGUAACUGACGCUGAUGCACGAAAGUGUGGGGAGCAAACAGGAUUAGAUACCCGGGUAGUCCCUGA